GACACAUUUGCUGAGAACCAAGAGUUGGGCUACAAGACAUUGCAGACUACCAGGAGUUGAAAUGGGUCUUCCAGACGGGCUGUUAGAGUUCUUGGGGCCAGUAGGGUGGGGGGCAGCAGCGCUGGUAGGGGUGGUUAUAUUGAUUCAAGUGGUUAAAAAGAACAGAGAGGAGAAACGUUCUAUUUCUCCAGGAACUCACAAGUGUUUUGGUGACGAGAGAACACGGUUGAAGGAGGAAAAGUCGAAUGAAGCUUCUGGAAGAACUGGAAACUCUAGGAAGAAGAGAGUAGAACCGUGCCGUCAUGCCGAACAUGAGGAUGACAUAAUGAAAGGUUACGGCCUUGGACAUGUUCACAAAUAUAAAGAGUGGAUUUUGACACAAACAAUGCUAAGCGGAAAAGAUGAUUGUGCAGUAAAAAUGCUGGAGCAAGCUUUUAUCAUGGGUCAUCCUAUAGCUUCCCAGAUGCUCAGACAUGAUGCUGGAUUUGUUGACGCCGCACUACGUACCGAGGGUAAAGUUGACAUGUCUGAUGAAGGCACAAGGAGCUACUACAGAUAUGGCUACACUGACCUGGUCAAUGAAUAUCUCUACAAGGGGAUAAUCAACGAUGGUCAAGCAAAAGACCUCAAAAUAUGGGUGAAAAGAGAGAUGCACCUGGACCGGGAUACCGCAGAGUAUAAGGAGAUCCUUGAAGACAUUAAUGAUUUCUAUGACUGUUUUCAUAUGUUGUAGGCUUACUCUUACAGCAGUAUCCAAGGGGAAAGAAUCAAAAGUAUACCUUCCAUCACUUAUCGAUCAUAUUUUGGAGUAGCCUACAAUUUCAUGAAUUUCAUGUUGAUAAUCUCAUCUUAUAAUUAUAAUGUUUUGCUUUACAACAUGAUUGGUUGAUCCACAGAUGUUGCAAUCUCUAUUGCACUCCACACUGCCCUUUCCCACCUGGACGAAAGGAACAUCUAUGUGAGAAUGCUGUUCAUUGACUACAGCUCAGCGUUCAACACCAUAGUACCCUCAAAGCUCAUCACCAAGCUAAGGAUCCUGGAACUAAACACCUCCCUCUGCAACUGGAUCCUGGACAUCCUGACUGGCCGCCCCCAGGUGGUGAGGGUAGGUAGCAACACAUCUGCCACGCUGAUCCUCAACACUGGAGCUCCCCAGGGGUAAGUGCUCAGUCCCCUCCUGUACUCCCUGUUCACCCACGACUGCAUGGCCAGGCACGACUCCAACACCAUCAUUAAGUUUGCUGACGACACAACAGUGGUAGGCCUGAUCACCGACAACGACGAGACAGCCUAUAGAGAGGAGGUCAGAGACCUGGCCGGGUGGUGCCAGAAUAACAACCUAUCCUUCAACGUAACCAAGACUAAGGAGAUGAUUGUGGACUACAGGAAAAGGAGCACCGAGCACGCCCCUAUUCUCAUCGACGGGGCUGUAGUGGAGCAGGUUGAGAGCUUCAAGUUCUUGGGUGUCCACAUCAACAACCAACUAGAUUGGACCAAACAAGCCAUAAGACUCCUGAACAACCAAAUGGUUACCUGGACUAUUUGCAUUGUCUGAGUUACAGUUCAUAUGAGGAAAUCAGUCAAUUUAAAUGCAUUCAUUAGGCCCUAAUCUAUGGAUUUUAAAUGACUGCGAAUACAGAUUUGUAUCUGUUGGUCAAAGAUACCUUUAAAAAAUGGGCCUCAAAAUAGGCCUUAUUUCUGUGCAUUCAAAUUGCCAUUGAUAAAAUGCAAUUGUGUUCAUUGUCCGUAGCUUAUGCCUGCCAUACCAUAACCCCACUGCCACCAUGGGGCACUCUGUUCACAAUGUUGCCAUCAGCAAACCGCUCGCCCACAUGACACCAUACACGUGGUCUGCGGUUGUGAGGUCAGUUGGACGUAGUGCCCAAUCCUCUAAAACCACGUUGACGGCGGCUUGUGGUAGUCGCCUUCUGUACUCCCUGUUCACACCCGACUCCAACACCAUCAUUAAGUUUGCACAACAGUGGUAGGUCUGAUCACCGACAAUGAUGAGACAGCCUAUAGGCCAGGACAACAAACUUUCCCUCACUGUGAGCAAGACAGAGGAGAUGAUUGUGGACGACAGGAAAAGGAGGGCCGAACAUGCCACCAUUCACAUCGAAUGGGCUGUAGUGGAGCAGGUCGAGAGUUUCAUGUUCCUUGUUGUCCACAUCACCAACAAACUAACAUGGUCCAAACACAUCAACACAGUCCUGAAGAGGGCACAACAAAACCUUUCCCCCUCAAAAAAGAUUUGUCAUGGGUCCCAGAUCCUCAAAAAGUUCUACAGCUACACCAUCGAGAGCAUCCUGACCGGUUCUAUCACAUCCUGGUAUGGCAACUGCUCGGCCUCCCACCAUAAGGCGCUACAGGGGGUAGUGCGUACGCCCAGUACAUCACUGGGACCAAGCUUCCUGCCAUCCAAGACCUAUAUGCUAGGCAGUGUCUGAGGAAGGCCCAAAAAAUUGUCAAAGACUCCAGUCACCCAAGUCAUAGACUGUUCUCUCUGCUACUGCACGGCAAGCGGUUCCGGAGCUCCAAGUCUAGGUCCAAAAGGCUCCUUAAUUAACAGCUUCUAUCCCCAAGCCACAAGACUGCUGAACAAUUAAUUAAAUGGUCACCCUGACUAUUUGCAUUGACUCCCCCCUUUUGUUUUUACACUGCUGCUACUCACUGUUUAUUAUCUAUGCAUAGUCACUUUACCCCUACCUACAUGUACAAAUUACCUCGACUAACCUGUACCCCUGCACAUUGACUUGGUACCGGUACCCCCUGUAUAUAGCCUCGUUAUUGUUAUUUUAUUGUUACUUUUAUUACAUUUUUUCCUUUAGUUUAUUUAGUAAAUAUUUUCUUAACUCUAUUUCUUGAACUGCAUUGUUGGUGAAGGGCUUGUAAGUUAGCAUUUCACGGUAAGAUCUACACCUGUUGUAUUCGGUGCAUGUGACAAAUAACAUUUGAUUUGAUGGUAAAAGAAAUUAACAUUAAAUUAUCUGGCAAAGCUCUGGUGGACAUUCCUGCACUCAGCAUGGCAAUUGCACGCUCCCUCAAAACAAAAAAUUAAAUUUUAGAGUGGCCUUUUAUUGUUCACAGCACAAGGUGCACCUGUGUAAUGAUGUUUAAUCAAAGUAAUGAUGUUUAAUCAGCUUCUACAUAUGUCACACCUGUCAGGUGGAUGGAUUAUCUUGGCAAAGGAGAAAUGCUCACUAAUAGGGUUGUAAAAAAAUAUGUGCUCAACAUUUGAGAGAAAUAACCUUGUGUGUGUGGAACACUUCUGGGAUCUUUUAUUUCAGCUCAUGAAACAUGGGACCAACACUUAACAUGUUGCGUUCACAUUACAGUGUACAUUUACAGAACUUCUGAUCAUUUUCUUGCCUUAGUACCCGUUCAUGGACUAUUAACACAUUGUUUUCAUCAGAAGAGAAAUGUGUGAAAUUUCCCGGCAAUCAGUAAAUACUACUGGGCAAAAUUCUAAAUCAUCCCAUCAGUGUGAUACUAUGUAAAAUAUAUGGGAAGAUCUAGACAAUGGGGACUGUCUAAUUGUUAUGAUUUAGAUUUUUUUUUUGCAGUAUUGCGGAUAUGCAGAGACGCAAACAAUUAAGUUGGGUUCCUUUUCAUCUCCCACAUUGUGACCUUCCAGUAUAGAGCUUUGCUUUGGUGUGGAUUUAGACUUAUAGGUUCAUAUCAGUAGUGUUUCUCCAUUGUAUUCACUUUUCCAUGUUCUAUUGUGAAUUGUGUUUCUGUGUAGCUAUGGAAAGUUUUUUUUAAACUAUCAGCGAACCAACUUUUGAAUUGAAUACAUGGAAUUGGAUUGUGAUGAUACCGAUGAAUGAGUCCUGCACACAAUGUGCUUAUUUUUUUCAAUGUUUUUACCAGGAAUUAUAUUUGAUUUCCUGUGUAUGAAAUUGUUUGGUGAAAUAUUUGCCCAUCAUUCCACACCUUUAGAUAGUUGUGCUUCCAAUUUUAAUCAUCAGGAUUUAGUGACCAAAAAAUAGAAAUAGAAAUAAAAUGUGUUGAUCUACUGGGAUUUUUAAAAUACUUUAACUUCCUGUUUUGUCUGCUUGGACUCGAGAGAUAAGUAUGGUUGUGUUAAUGUUCUUGCAGGCAGUCAUGUUCUUUUGAUGAAUUUACUUAUGUUUUGAGAAGGCAACUUCACCUUGAAAAUGGAUUUACUGUUUUGCAAAAGCCCACAAAGUUCUGUUUCUUGUGGAUUCUUGUUAUGAAAAAAAAUGCUUGUACGGGAUUGAGAUAGACUGUAAUAAAAUAUGAACUGUAGUACUCUAGUAAUCUAAAUAUUUCAAUAAGUAAGUGGAUGGAAAAAGCUUUCUGACCGCGACUGGACAGAAUAUAGUGGUCAGGAGGACAGGCAGGCUAGCUCUUACCAGCUCUGCAUACUGUAACUAUCCCAAACCUUCCACCUUCCAUGAAGAGUGCAGUUACAUGUUUUCACCUGUUGACGGUGCUGCCCACUUUGAUAGAGUGGGCAGCACCACCAUAGAGUAGUACAGUACAGUAUAGUACCAACACUAGUAUGGUAGAGUAUUACAGUAUAGUAUAGUACCAACACCAGCAUGGUAGAGUAGUACAGUACAGUAACAAC
ensembl:lncRNA